GAUCAUGGCUCAGAUUGAACGCUGGCGGAAUGCUUUACACAUGCAAGUCGAACGGUAGAGGGGGCAACCCUCGAGAGUGGCGAACGGGUGAGUAAUAUAUCGGAACGUGCCCAGUCGUGGGGGAUAACGUAGCGAAAGUUACGCUAAUACCGCAUACGAUCUACGGAUGAAAGCGGGGGAUCGCAAGACCUCGCGCGAUUGGAGCGGCCGAUAUCAGAUUAGGUAGUUGGUGGGGUAAAGGCUCACCAAGCCAACGAUCUGUAGCUGGUCUGAGAGGACGACCAGCCACACUGGAACUGAGACACGGUCCAGACUCCUACGGGAGGCAGCAGUGGGGAAUUUUGGACCAAUGGACGCAAGUCUGAUCCAGCCAUUCCGCGUGCAGGAUGAAGGCCCUCGGGUUGUAAACUGCUUUUGUACGGAACGAAAAGGUUUCUAUUAAUACUAGGAGCUCAUGACGGUACCGUAAGAAUAAGCACCGGCUAACUACGUG
rnacentral:rRNA from 1 species